UGGGACCCCCUAUUCAGCACUUCUGCAUUGGGGUUUGGCUGCUGGAGCUGCAGUUUGUACUCCGGCCGCUCUCUUUGCUUGGGAAACGUCGCCAACGCCACCAGGUGAAGCGGCACCGGCUGCUGCCAGGUUUUUCGGAGCAAAGCCCCCUGCCCACCUGCGAGCCUGCCUGCCCCGCUGGAGCCCGGGCACCGCCAGCUCCGACCUGGAGGUGACAAAGGCGAGCAGAGCCCCGUGUCGCAGCAGGACGGGGACAUCGCAUCAGGACGGGGACCCGGCAGGGUUUCCACAUCGUAUCGAGGAGGCAGGCAAGUUGCACCUCUCCAAGACUUCAUGGAACACGUGGCAGUAAACAUAUUAGCAUGUUAAAGAAGUGGCCUUAUCAAAAAGUUAAUCGCUUCCAGCAGUACACUGUGAAGUGAGUGGGAUACCUGCCAGUCUCGAGUCUUCCUUAAAGCCCAUGCCAACUGGCCUAGCUCUAAACUUUUCCUUGAAAUCUGGCUGGCAGGGUUGGCCAGCUGGACGUUCCCCACGGCCCAGGGUCGGGGCAAGCAUCUCCCUUGCCUGUUCAAGCAUACCAAGUAUCAUAUGGCAGUCUGAACAGCCAGUCAGUGGUAAAAAAUCAAAAAGAUGGCAUCAUGUGGGGAAUACAGGCUGGAACUCCUGCCUCUGCUGAUUAUUAAUGCUACAUCGCCAGAGCCACGUCUCCUUUCUCUGUCUGCAUUGCAUGGGUCCACUUGCAGAAGAACCACUGCCUCGGAUUCGAGGUUUCUGUCUUUCUUGGGUGGCUCUAGACCUUUGUUUCUCUUCUACCAGUAGCAUAUUUUUGUAAUUUAUUGAAUUACCUCAGUGCCAUAAAGUAAUAUCAGGCAUUACACCUCCCUUGUGGCAUGGCACCAACGCUAAAACGUGCUGGCAUGUUCUCUUCAACUUUGUAAUACAUAAGCCUAGGGUGAGCUGGUUUGAGCUGAAAAGUGACCAAGAGCUUAGUUUAUCCAAGUCAGCUUUGAAACAAUUGUGGUUUUAGGUAUUUUUCUACAUUUGGUAGGGAAUGGGCUGAGAGCAGCCAUCAGGAGGGAAUGAAUCUGUUCUCCUGGGUUACUGUGUCCGGGCCAGGUCGGCUGCUGCCGAGCCCUGUGGUUUUGGCAUCUUGCAAACCUGCGUGAAAUCAGAUCGGGGAUUAUCCUCGGCACAGGAUGCUCUCCCCAGCAUUGUUUUAUGGUACUUUGUUUGUUUAUCUAUCUUGGUUUUCCUGAAUUUGUUUUAACUGAUGCUUUUUAGCAGUGCUUGGAAUAUUCCAGUACAAAAAAGAUACACAAGAUUAUUUGAAGCCUGAAGUCUUAGCCUCCAGGAUUGCUCGUGUCCAGUGAGGCUGGUGAAGGAGUGCACGAGGACAGAGAAGACCAGAAUGUUCAUGUGCUCCAAGCUUCUGGGAACUCACAGGAGUACAGAUAAAUGAAAAAUAUGUUCUCAGUAAGAUUUCCCCACUGAGCAACAUUUGUCUUUUCUGUGUAGAUGAGUGGCUCAAAGCAACGUGGAUGCUGCAUGCCGGGCACUGCGCUCCCUUCCACUCUGCAGUGGUGUAAGCGAUGAGCAGAUGGUGCAGUGCAGUGGAAAAUCGUGUCUCCAAGAAAAUGCAAAGAUGAGAACAAAACACCCUUAAGCAGAAAGCUACAUGACUUAUUUCAGUAUAAAAUGAAAAACUGAGAUCCUUGGGCAAAAAAUAGAAAAUAGGAGUUGUGUAUUCCACUUACGUGCAAUGCCUCAUUCCUUCUCAUUUGAGAAAACAUCCAUCCCUUCACAGCUGAAGGCUUCCUUAUCUCAUUUGUUGUCUUUCAGUUCAUUGAUCUUCUUCCUCAGUGCUCUCACGUGACUGUUCUUUGUUGAACUAACAACCAUGCUUAUCUCUGAAUUUUCUUUCAUUUUUAUUUUCUUGCUCACUGAAGGCGAAUCUUUUAGAAUCUCUUCUCACUGAGGCUGCAGCAUGACCUGAAUUGCAUCCAUCAUUGUUUAACUGCACUGAGCCCUAAACAGCCAGCCAAGAUAGGUAAGAACAUAAUGCGAAAACUUUAGUUCUGGUUUUAAAUUCGUUAAUAUAAAGGUAAAUUACUCCUGUAAAUGUGACCGUUUAUUCCAUUAAGUUGUUUAUUUGUGCAGUCUCCCAUCAAGUUAUUUAUUCGUGCAGGCCCCCACCUCACUGUGCCUCCCUGCCAAAAGUAAAACUUUUAAUGGCCCAGCCAGGUUCCAGCCCCCGACAUUCCCCUGGUGCUUGAGUAAGGACCAGGGCAGGGAAACUCCUCCUGCACUCUGCGCUGUCUGGUGUUAAAGAACUAUUGGAUUACAGCUCAGCUGGCUGCGUUUUGGUGACCUAGAUCAUGUUUGUGCUAGCAGAAAAAUAAUUUAACAAACCUUGGUAUAAAAGCUUAGCCAUGAUUAAAAUGGGAUGUAUUUAUUUAUUUGGAGCACAACGACCAGAGCAAAGUAUUGGCAGUAAUGAUAAGCCCCUCGUCACUGGUGUAGUUGGAAUAGUUACUCUGAGCUGGUAUUUUGAUGUCUGCUUUUUGUAUCUCUUUAGCGUUAUUAUAUUUAAAAUGGAAUUCUACAUUAUUACCCAUCUUUCACUAACAUUAAAAUCAAUUUUUUAAUUUUAAGACAUAGAAGGUUCAAUAGUUUUCAUUUAAUUUUCAGUCUUGGCAGUGACAAAGAGGUAAUUUAUGUAUCGGAGAAUCAGGAACUUACUUUAUUAACUUUCUCCUCAGAAAUAUUUAGCUUUAAGAAAGGGUAACGCAUGUGUUCAUGUAUCCGUGUGUUAGCAUGCCCUCUCCUCCUCAACUCCUUCAGUACCAAAACAGUAAAGAUAAAUAAUGCAAGGCCUUUGCCUGGGAGAGCUUGCUAUUUAAUUCAUGUGUGCUGUAGUGAAGGGUCAGAAAAAGACUGGAACUGGAAUGUGGGAAGAAUAAAACAGUAAUGUCUUUGCCUGUAAGUCAUGGUCAUUAAAGGUUGCAUGGGGCGAUUUGUAGGAAUGACAAGUGCUGCUUACUUUCUGGCCCUCUGGCACUGCAUUUUUUUUGGCAUUCAGUUCCAGAUUACUGCUGAGAGUGCAUAUGAAGGUUUUUUUUUUUUUUUAAAUCUGGAAACAGCAGCAUCUGUACCUGCUUCUGCAGUGACUCCCCUGUAUAAUUUGUGUUUUAACUGGAAUUUGUAGAGUUCUUGUGGAUCCCUCUGAAGGUCAUGCCCAACUAGGAAUCAAAUCCAUUCACCACAAGGGCACUGAAAGGAGUCUUAAACGGAUAUGUAUCCAGAGAAUUAUCUCAUGUUGGAGGCUCAUUUCCCCUUGAGGACCAAGGGGAAUAUCCACUUAAAAAUUAAAAAAUAAUUGGAACUAACAGAAUGUAUGUGGAUAGCCUGUUGCCUCUGCUCUGUGGCACAGUUCUUGCCCCUACCAUCUGGCCUGUCCCGACUUCGUAGAGGAAUAUAAACAUGAAGAAUUUCAAAAGCGUAACAGAGACUGUGGUACAUCAAAAGCCAUUACAAUUCAUUUAGGCUGCCUGGAAAUGUAAGAAUAAUGACACAGUGUAUGUGCUUAUACAGUAGAAGUCACUGUUGAGAUUUUUCAAAUCCCAUUGCAAUGAAUUGAAGCCGCAUGUCCAGAGCCUCUAAACUGCUGCUAUGACAAUAAAAGCUGAUAUGCAUAAAACCAUCCAUGAUUUAAAGUAAGUGAUCUACAGGGUAGAGUAAGUAAUGCAUAUACGAAUAUUAAUACACUUGGCUUUUGCUGAAGUGAGUGCUACACUUUUUUUUUUUUUUAUAUAGUACCCUAGCUUAUAAACCCUGUUUCUACAUGCAGUACAACCAUAUCCCAGACUCAGAGUGCUUAAUGAGAAACUUGAGGGCUGAAUCUAGAGGGGUCAGAACAAACUUUCCCUGGUAUUUCACUACAGUAGAACAGCUUAGAGAUCAGCGGUGGCUGCUUUCUCCCUAAACACAUCU